rnacentral:rRNA from 1 species
ACGAACGCUGGCGGCGUGCUUAACACAUGCAAGUCGAACGGAAAGGCCCUGCUUUUGUGGGGUUCUCGAGUGGCGAACGGGUGAGUAACACGUGAGUAACCUGCCCUUGACUUUGGGAUAGCUUCAGGAAACUGGGGCUAAUACCGGAUAGGAGCUCCUGCUGCAUGGUGGGGGUUGGAAAGUUUCGGCGGUUGGGGAUGGACUCGCGGCUUAUCAGCUUGUUGGUGGGGUAGUGGCUUACCAAGGCUUUGACGGGUAGCCGGCCUGAGAGGGUGACCGGCCACAUUGGGACUGAGAUACGGCCCAGACUCCUACGGGAGGCAGCAGUGGGGAAUAUUGCACAAUGGGCGGAAGCCUGAUGCAGCAACGCCGCGUGCGGGAUGACGGCCUUCGGGUUGUAAACCGCUUUCGCCUGUGACGAAGCGUGAGUGACGGUAAUGGGUAAAGAAGCACCGGCUAACUACGUG